CGAAAAAUCUACUCUAUCUCGUCAGCCCGCCAAACGUCGCAGGAGUUGCUGCCCAACGCCGCAGGAAGGUGCAGCACUGUAUCGCCGAAUGGUUCUAGACCAGUCUUGCUCGCAUCACGUCAAUUUGCCAUCCUAAACCUUUGAUCUUCUUUCUCGUGUCAUUUCAGUCGCCAGAAAACCUGUCUAGAUCAAAAACUUGUGCUGUCCGUCGCUUCGGUCACUCCUUUGCCGUUGGGUCUCCGUUAAAAUGCACAGAAAGCAGAAGAGGAGCUCACUGUAAAUCAUCUCACCUCCUCCCCCCCUCUCCCUCUCUCUCUGUGCUUUUCUUUCUUCUGUCUUACUCAUUAACCCCAUACUCUCCGGCUCCAUUUAGCCUCGCCAUUCCAUUCCCUGUGAUCUGUUCAAGAGAUUCCUCUUCACUCUCCCCCCCGAGAUGACAGUGAACAAGCAUUCACUAAAUUUUGUUUUGCUUCUUGGAGAUACAGAUUUAAAUUGCCUGUUACGAACCAAAUGUUGAAUGAGGUACAAAGCGGCUCUUGUAUACUUUAAGGUUUAAUACUGUUAUGUAUGCAUUUUGAUGGGCUGCCAUUGGAAAAGGGUGUAGAAACCAUUACUAUGACAGCAAACUGAUUGGUACAAUUACUUUGUUGGAAGUCAUGUUUGCCCAUAAUUUCAAGAAGGUUGGCAUUAUUGUUGAAGGCAUUUUUUGAGGAUAAUUUUUUACUUUGAAGAUUAUAUUCAUAUUUUGUGGUUAUAGUUGAUUAAGAUUGUGGUUACCAAACAUACAAGAACAUUGUAUUUUUAAAAUUUUAAGAGGAAG